ACGGAAGGCAGCAGUGAGGAAUAUUGGUCAAUGGGCGCAAGCCUGAACCAGCCAAGUAGCGUGAGGGAUGACUGCCCUACGGGUUGUAAACCUCUUUUGUUUGGGAAUAAAGGAGCCUACGCGUAGGCUUUUGCGUGUACCUUUCGAAUAAGCAUCGGCUAAUUCCGUGCCAGCAGCCGCGGUAAUACGGAAGAUGCGAGCGUUAUCCGGAUUUAUUGGGUUUAAAGGGAGCGUAGGCGGCCGGUUAAGUCUGCGGUCAAAUGUCAGGGCCCAACCUUGGCAUGCCGUGGAUACUGUCCGGCUUGAGUGCACACAAGGAAGGUGGAAUUCGUCGUGUAGCGGUGAAAUGCUUAGAUAUGACGAAGAACUCCGAUUGCGAAGGCAGCCUUCUGGGGUGUUACUGACGCUGAGGCUCGAAAGUGCGGGAAUCAAACAGGAUUAGAUACCCUGGUA
rnacentral:rRNA from 1 species